GUGGGGAAUAUUGGACAAUGGGCGAAAGCCUGAUCCAGCCAUGCCGCGUGUGUGAAGAAGGUCUUCGGAUUGUAAAGCACUUUAAGUUGGGAGGAAGGGCAGUAAGUUAAUACCUUGCUGUUUUGACGUUACCGACAGAAUAAGCACCGGCUAACUUCGUGCCAGCAGCCGCGGUAAUACGAAGGGUGCAAGCGUUAAUCGGAAUUACUGGGCGUAAAGCGCGCGUGGGUGGUUUUGUAAGUUGGAGGUGAAAUCCCCGGGCUCAACCUGGGAACUGCCUCCAAAGCCGCAUGACUAGAGUACUGUAGAGGGUAGUGGAAUUUCCUGUGUAGCGGUGAAAUGCGUAGAUAUAGGAAGGAACACCAGUGGCGAAGGCGACUACCUGGACUGAUACUGACACUGAGGUGCGAAAGCGUGGGGAGCAAACAGGAUUAGAAACCCCGGUAGUCC
rnacentral:rRNA from 1 species